rnacentral:sRNA from 1 species
UGUUGGAACCAUUCGAAACAACACAGCAAGUUAAAAUAAGGCAGUGAUUUUUAAACCCAGUCCGUACACAACUUGAAAAAGUGCGCACCGAUUCGGUGCUUUUUUA